CGUAGCCGCGGUAAUACAGAGGAUGCAAGCGUUAUCCGGAAUGAUUGGGCGUAAAGCGUCUGUAGGUGGCUUUUCAAGUCCGCCGUCAAAUCCCAGGGCUCAACCCUGGACAGACGGUGGAAACUACCAAGCUGGAGUGCGGUAGGGGCAGAGGGAAUUUCCGGUGGAGCGGUGAAAUGCGUUGGGAUCGGAAAGAACACCAACGGCGAAGGCACUCUGCUGGGCCGACACUGACACUGAGAGACGAAAGCUAGGGGAGCAAACGGGAUUAGAGACCCCUGUAGUCCCUGUCUCUUAUACA
rnacentral:rRNA from 1 species